rnacentral:piRNA from 1 species
UGCCAAGCCAGGGAUGUAAUUAACCUCAAG